AACGAACGCUGGCGGCAGGCUUAACACAUGCAAGUCGAGCGCAUCCUUCGGGGUGAGCGGCAGACGGGUGAGUAACGCGUGGGAAUCUACCUUUUGCUACGGAAUAGCUCCGGGAAACUGGAAUUAAUACCGUAUGUGCCCUUAGGGGGAAAGAUUUAUCGGCAAGAGAUGAGCCCGCGUUGGAUUAGCUAGUUGGUGGGGUAAAGGCCUACCAAGGCGACGAUCCAUAGCUGGUCUGAGAGGAUGAUCAGCCACAUUGGGACUGAGACGCGGCCCAACCUACUACGGGAGGCAGCAGUGGGGAAUAGUGGACAAUGGGCGCAAGCCUGAUCCAGCCAUGCCGCGUGAGUGAUGAAGGCCUUAGGGUUGUAAAGCUCUUUCACCGGAGAAGAUAAUGACGGUAUCCGGAGAAGAAGCCCCGGCUAACUUCGUGCCAGCCGCCGCAGUAAUAC
rnacentral:rRNA from 1 species